rnacentral:rRNA from 1 species
GCAGUGGGGAAUAUUGCACAAUGGGGGAAACCCUGAUGCAGCAACGCCGCGUGAGUGAAGAAGGUUUUCGGAUUGUAAAGCUCUGUUAGCAGGGAAGAGGAAGGACGGUACCUGCAGAGGAAGCCACGGCUAACUACGUGCCAGCAGCCGCGGUAAUACGUAGGUGGCAAGCGUUGUUCGGAAUAACUGGGCGUAAAGGAUGCGUAGGCGGUUGAGUAAGUUAUGUGUUAAAUAUAUAGGCUUAACCUGUAGAAAGCACAUAAAACUGUUUAACUAGAGUGCAGGAGAGGUAAGUGGAAUUCCUAGUGUAGCGGUGAAAUGCGUAGAGAUUAGGAAGAACACCAGUGGCGAAGGCGACUUACUGGACUGUAACUGACGCUGAGGCAUGAGAGCAUGGGGAGCAAACAGGAUUAGAUACCCGUGUAGUC